UUUGCCUCAGGAACUCCUGUAUUGACUGUCAAUCUGCUAAUAAAAUAAGCAUCUUCUUUUAUAAACUGCAAAUGUUUUUAACACUCGGCAUCAUUUGGCCCAACAUGACGACACCGAAUGCAGCUGGACUUUGUCACAGGAAAGCAUUAAGAAAGCGACUCUGUAUGAUAAUUCAUUUGGCAAGGAAAGGCUGACUGCUAUACAUACACAGUAGGAUAAGACUAAAUAUCACUCUGGUGAUAAGCUCACAGUAAGUUGAGUAGACUGCCAUGAGUAGACCAUUGUGGUGGUGGAUAAAAGGGAAGUUUAACUUUUUUCCAAAAGUGACCAUGAACGCUAUAAAGAUAUAAAUACAUGUCUACAUUUUACUGUUUAAUAAAUAGUCCCUGAUACUUACUUAAAAAAAAAAAAUUCUGAUGUUAUAAAAUACAGUAAAAUUAAA